rnacentral:rRNA from 1 species
GAUGAACGCUAGCGGCAGGCUUAACACAUGCAAGUCGAGGGUAGGGCAGCAAUGCCUGAGACCGGCGCACGGGUGCGUAACGCGUAUGCAAUCUACCUUGUACAGGGGAAUAGCCCAGAGAAAUUUGGAUUAAUGCCCCAUAGCAUAUUUGAAUGGCAUCAUUUAAAUAUUAAAGUUCAGGCGGUACAAGAUGAGCAUGCGUCCCAUUAGCUAGUUGGUAUGGUAACGGCAUACCAAGGCAAUGAUGGGUAGGGUCCUGAGAGGGAGAUCCCCCACACUGGUACUGAGACACGGACCAGACUCCUACGGGAGCAGCAGUGAGGAAUAUUGGGCAAUGGAGGAAACUCUGACCCAGCGACGCCGCGUGAGGGAUGAA